UGCAAGUCGAACGGCAGCACAGAGGACCUUGCUCCUUGGGUGGCGAGUGGCAGAGGGGUGAGGAAUACAUCGGAAUCUACUUUGUCGUGGGAGAUAACCUGGGGAAACUUACUCUAAUACCGCAAACUACCUACAGGUGAAAGCGGGAGACCUUCGGGCCUUGCCCGAUUGAAUGCCCCGAUGUCGGAUUAGCUAGUUGGCGGGGUAAAGGCCCACCAGCGAGAAUAUCCGUAUCUGGUCUGAGAGGAUGAUCCCCCACACUGGAACUGACACACGGUCCACACUCCUACGGGAGGCAGCUGUGGGGAAUAUUGGACAAUGGGCGCAAGCCUGAUCCACCCAUACCGCGUGGGUGAAAAAGGCCUUCGGGUUGUAAAGCCCUUUUGUUGGAAAAGAAAUCCAGCUGGCUAAUACCCGGUUGGGAUGACGGUACCCAAAAAAUAAGCACCGGCUAACUUCGUGCCAGCAGCCGCGGUAAUACAAAGUGUGCACGCGUUACUCAGAAUUACUGCGCGUAAAGCGUGCGUACGGUGGUCGUUUAAGUCAUGUUGUGAUCCCCCUGCUCUCAACCUGAGAACUGCAGUGAAUACUGGGCGACUAGUCGUGUG
rnacentral:rRNA from 1 species